GAGAAUUUUUAGAAAUUUUGGAGCCUUUUAAAAUACCUAAAAGUUAGCUCAAGAAGGCAUGUGUCAUCCAAGUAAGCAACUACAUGGACUCUAGGCAAGUAAUACCUAUAGGGAUCACUUGGACAUCCUAGCAUGUGAGCAUUUCUUUCCUUAAAUGGAUCGAAAUCACGUGUUAAAAACUUUGGAAGCGCGUUUUUGGAUGAGUAUGUACCAUAUAUAUUUUAUGAAAAAAAUUUAGGUUGAGAUUUCUAAGAAACAUGUUUUAUAUUUUAUGUAACGCUAGAGAGAGAAGAUGCAUGACAAGAAUACGAGCUAGGAAAUAUGGACGAGUAAGUUAUGUAAUAUGUAAGAAAUUACCAAAAUGCUCUUAUGAUAAAAUUUGUGAUGAAUAUUGUUUUAUAUGUUUUUCACUGUAUUAGAAAGGAGGAUGGGCUAUUGUCCUUUGUGCUUCGGGCGAGGUGGAUGUUAAAUCCCCAUUGAGCUUGUUUGUUUGCAUGAAUAUUUUAGUUAAUGUUUUUCAGAGUUUUAGGUGAUCGAUAGGAUAUUUCCUUAAUCAUCUUGUACGAAUAUCUAGAUUAUAUAAACAAUGCUCUGGGUGAUUGAUAAGGUAAUUUCUCUAGCAAAGCAUGCACAAGUGAGUCAAGCUAAGAUUAGGGUGUAUAGGUAGAGUAGAUUACAUAUUAAUUUGCGUCGGUAUGUUUCCAGAAGACCUUGAACCCCAGGAUCGAGAGCGAUAAAAGGUUUAGACCUGUGUGCACCCCGAGAUUUGAUCAGCCUCGAGAAGCUAACCUCGAACAUCCUAAAAGUGAUGGAUUAGAUUUAAACUACCUAAACGCCUAAAUAACCUAGUAAACCUCCAUGGCAUUCAAGAAUAACAAAGAUAGCUCUUCAAGCCGCUAGGGCAUAUGUAGUAUCAUCAGUUUAACAUUUGAUAAUCGUAUCAUGAAGUUCCACUUCCGUACCUGUAUCGUUGAGCCAGGCAUGAAACCAGUUAUGAUUGUGUGACCUAAUAGUUCAGUUGGAUUACCCUAUAGUGAAAAUUCAUCCAAUGGUGGGACAUGGAUCACUCUUCUAAUGCAGAUCCAUCCAAUGGUGGGACGUGGAUCACAUGAAUAAUGUAGAUCCAUCUUAUGGUGAGACAUGGAUCACACCGGUAGUUGUUGGAGCUGGCACGCACAGGGAGUCACUCCCCUGACUUUGGAUGACUAUAUGUUGUGGAUGAGUUCAUUAGCUAACUUUCCAGGGAUGACGAGUAUACUAACACACACAAUAUUGUCCCCACCAGAUAGAGAGUUCUACGAGGUAGUGCCUCAACCCCAAACGUUGGUUAUACACUGGCUAGACAAAGAAAGCUACCUAAGUCAAAUAACAGAAGAGCAAUUUGCCAUAGAGAUGGGACUUAUCGCUCGGCCGACCCGUGACAUCAGAAAAGGGUGAACCACCUCCUCCGAACCCAGAGUGGAUCUAUGAGGAGGUAAAGUACCACUUGGAAGCUCGAGGCUCCCUAGAUGCUCAGAUGGUAGUAGGAACUAGGCCCGAACUUCCUAGAGUCCAAAGUGUUCGCAGAUUACCAGUCGAGGUGGAGAAGCAUUCGAGGGUUGUGCAGUCACACAGGGGGUCGUUUUAGAGCACUAGUCAACUUUUGUAUUUGAGAGCAAUCCAGUUCAUUCCAUGCAUUUAAGUUCGGUUUAUCUGGGAAUCGAGUUAGAAUAUUUAUUAAGUAGUGUAUUCUAUAGAAGAUAGCCAUUGGA